rnacentral:lncRNA from 1 species
AACACCAAAUAAUCAGUAACACCAUUUAAGACCUAAACUAUUAAAGCAUUCUUUAGCUUAGAUUUUGGAAGAAAAUUCCCUUACUUUUUUCUGAUAUUAGCUAAUCACUUCCAAAGAGAAUCCUAAUUGAAAACAACCAACAAAAGACUUGAACUUUCUCUUGUUUUCAUGACUAAUCUCAGCAGCCAAACUAAAAGGAGAGUAAUUCACCAAGCAUGGGCAUACAGUAUUCAUCUAUGAUGGUUAUCCCAAGAUCCCAAAUGGAUCAUCUUUAAAUCCUUGAUUAUGUAUUUGAAUCAGAAAACAACAUAAAAACAGAGAGAUUUGGGGUUUGAAGUGAUUACCAGAAGACGAGGAGGGACUUUCAUGGAGCAAACAACACGCCCAGGUUCAAUGAGAUCAAUAUGAAGGCCUUGCAUUAUAAAUCUUUCAAAGAAUCUGAGAGGCAUUUUUUCAAUGGUUGAUGCAUUCUUGUCUUCUUCAUAUCCUCCUGUCUCUACGUAUCUCUUCACUGAUUCCAAAUCCAUUUUUCUUUCUUCCCUUUGUCUCAGGCAAAGGUAUGUUUGUUGAAAGAGUGAUGGGCAAAGACGCAAAGGAAUACUGCCCUUCCCGUUGACCCAUAAUAACUGGAUUAUAAGACAUGUGAGGUGAGAUGCUGAGUUUAUUUUUUUAAAAUUAUGGGUUUGAAUUUUAUAAAUUUUUAAAUUAUUAUAAAUUUAUAUAGUUAAUAAUUUUAAAAUUAUUAAAAUUAAUAUAUAUAUAUAUAUAUAUAUAAAUUACCUGAAUAUUCACAUUAAUUAAAAACUAAAAUUCUAAAACAUGAGAAAUAGGGUUAGGAAUUGUAUCAUGAUUUUUCCCUAGUUUGAGAAAAUUACCAAGAACUUCAAUUUUAAUUCUCUCAUUAAAAAAAGUUCGACUGUUUCUGUAAAAAAAUCAAUUUUAAUACCUUUUAUUGUCAAUUAAACUGCUAGCACCAAUCAUUAUCUUCCCAAUCCCACAUAAAUACUAAAGAAACAUAAUUAAUUGCUUCACCUUUUUCUAUGUGAUCAUGAAUUAUUUUUUAUUUAUUUUUUUCUAUGAAAAGAAAGAGACGGAAUAUAUGGGGGAAUAAACGAAAUCUACAGGGUAUUAUCUUAUCUUUUAUUUAAACCUUGAAAGAUCACAACAUAUUAAAAUCUCGAAUUAACUUGAAAAAUAUUAUAAAAUUGUAAGUUAAUAUAUAUUUAAGGUGUUAAAUCAGAUUAAAAACUUGAAACUAGAAAAAUUAGAUUUAAUUCAUGCAAAAUCAAUAAAAUUGAUAAACUUGGUCUGAUUUGACGAGUUUACUAAAUUUGUGAUAUGAACCAAGUUAAGUCUUAAUUUGACCUUAAAAUAUCUACUAAUUAGUUUUACGAGAUUGAAUAUAUCUUUUAAACCGUAAAUUGGAUAAAGCUUAAAUUUAAUAGAAAAAUAUUAGAUAUAUAAAAAUAUAUUAUGGUAAAUUUUCAGAUUAAAUGGAGUUAGAGAAUAUAAUAUUUCAAAUGGUCAAAGUUAGUAAACUAACAUCCUUAAAUAUAUCAAACAAGACCUUUUUGCACUGUUUGGGACAUAUCUAGAUCUACCGUUGGAAUUUUGCUUCGAUUAAAGUAGGGAUAGAAACUAGACAUUUAAAACUUUUCAACUAUAUAUUAUAGGGCCAAUAAUUCAUCCAAACGAGAGAGAAUGAUAUGUUUGAAAUCAGGACUUAAAUCUGCCAAUAAUAUGUAAAAAAUAGAGAUUUAGGCUUAUGGAGGAAUUUUAACAUGAAUACUUUUUUUAUUAUUAUUCUAUUUUAUUUAUUUAUUUAUUUUUAAAUAAUUAUUUUUAAUUUGAUUUUUUCUUAGGACAUUAGACAUUGUUUAGGGGUUUAUUUUAUUAUUGAAUUUAUGUUAGUUAAUUACUAAUUUAAACUCAUUAACUUGCAACCCGAAAAGGGUCUAUCAAGACUUAUUGUGAUGGGAACAACCAGGUUGUCACUAGAUUUAUGUGUGCUUUAUACUUUUCAGUGAUUCUUCUAUAUUGAGAAAUUGUGUUUUGAGACUUUUUAUUUCUCAAUGUCAUUACUUUAUUAAUUCAUAUUAUAUAUCUCUCUCAUUUUAUUUAAAUCACUCAUUGAUUAUAAUAUUGAUGAUUUAUUUUAUCAGAUGUUAAUGUAAAUUAAUUUCCUAGCUAGAAUUAUCAAUAUAUAAUCAGUUAAAAAACUUACUUAUGAUUUUACAAUUCGAGUUUACGAUCCAAGUUUAUAUUAUAUUUUUCAUGUCGUGUCAAAAAAAUAUUUUUGAUAACCUUGAUCACAAUUCAAUAACAACAGCUUUAAGAGAUUGAUCUAGCAGUUAAAAUGUUUUGUUCCUUUUUAGGAUAUAUAUAUAUAUAUAUAUAUAUAUAUAUAUUUUUAAUUAAAUUAUUUUAAAUAUAUCAUGCUAAUAUGAGAUAUAUAACGUCCAAGGUAAAAAAAAAACCUUAUUUUUAUGAAUAAAGUUGAGUUUUCUAGGCCUAAACAUUUUUUAAAAAUCAUUCUAAUAUGAAUAUUCCUUUUAACUUCUUGGGUUUUUCCCCUUUUUUUUUUUUUUUUUUUUGUAUUUUUAGGAUUCCAAAAUUAGAUUGUUUGGCAUAAAUGUUUUUUAAUUAAUGGAAAAUACCAAAUACAUGGCAAUGGAAAAGUAAAAAUUAUAUUAUUGAUGACCCAAUUAACAAUAAAUAAAUAGACUCAACUAGGUGAGUUUGUUCAUGGUGAUUUUUUUUAUUGUAAUUAAUUUUAUAUAAUGUAAGCAAAUUUCAAUUAAUUUGUUUUUAUUUCUUUCCUGUUAAUCAUAUACCUUUUCUUUUAUCAAGUUAAUAAUUUAUUUUUUCUUUUUAAAAUCUUUGUGUAGCCAUAUGUGCUUUUAACAUAGUUUGUUAACUAUUCUUGAGGGUCUUAAAUAUUCUUUAGCUUCAAAUGCAAGGCUGAAAUUGAGACUGCAAAGUAGUAUGGGGGACCAAUUUGGAUAUAAAAGGUUCUUUUUUAAAACCGGCUUGAUUCCAGCCCUGGAACCGCCGAAAUUCAGGUCAACCCGUCGAAUCAGACCGGGUUUCAAAACUAUAAAAAAACAUAUCCUCUUUAUCUUAGUUAUCUCUGUUUGUUUUUUUUUAAUCAAAACAGUAACCAAAAUGCUACAAGAUAUGCUUUGGUGAUGUAUUUACAAGUUGGUGCCCAGAUUUCAGAGAAAUGAAGGGAUUUUUAACAAAAUAAAAUUCCCCGCAAUUACAUCUUUCUUUUCCCUCUUUAUAAUUAAGUAGUUUACUUUGCCAGCCUUAGGAGUGAAGGCCCUCUCAAAUCACCUUCAUGCUGCAGCAAGAACAUUCAAAUUGCUACAAAGGGAACCAUUUCUCAUCAGGUUUUUGUGCACCAUAGACUCUGCAAAGGUACUUUAGGCAGGUAAGGUUAAAGCCAACUAUACUGUGGAUAAAUCAUAGGAAGAAGAUGUUCUAAGCUGUUUUCCUUGUCCAAUAUCUGAUGAGUAGCCUAAACACAAUCGAUAUUAUAUUUCAGUUCAUUAAUUUAUGAAAUAAAAUCAUUGCAUUGCAUAGAAAAUGCUGUCUUGAACUGCAGGAGAAAUUCGGAAAGGAGCGGCAACAAUAUGCGAGGAGGACAACCAAAUUUACUGCUCAGCAUGGCUGUCAGAGUGUCAAACUCUCCAUCAUUCAACUCAUCUGACAAAUAUUUUUAUCCCCGGAUGAGAAAGAUACAAAGCCUGUUGACUCUGAUGCUUGCUUGAUGGGAGCUUAGGGGUCCGAUCUCUGGAAACUGGUCUAAAACCGUAUUUCUUCCAGAGCAGAGAAUGUGCAGUGUUUGAUGCGUUAUUCAGUGAUGCAUUAUUGGUUCUCGAGAACGAACUACCACGAAAGACUUGCAAGCCAUUUACAUUUUACUGGAAAUAAGAAAGUACUUGGUAUGACGCCCUUGAGCAAUAAUUGCCCCACUCUUUUUUUUCCUGAAAUCAACACUCGCAGAUCCAACAGCUUUGCCUGCACGUAGAACCCUGGCUUCAAUCUCGAUUUCGUCCUGAAUGAACAGAAACAGAAAACUUCGUAAGACUGGCAAGUCUAAUGUUGUUUAUGAUUCAGUAGUUUUUACAUGUACGAUGGAACAUCCACACAUCUACACAGCUGCUAUGAUGAAUGGAAUCAACGCUACAUAUCAGCAUUGAGGUUUAUUUUACUCCAUCUUGUUGUUCUACAAAUCUUAGAUUUCCCUUACUCCAUCUUGACCAAAACUUCUUGCUCGUCAACAAACAGAAUGGACCUAAUAGUUCAUCUAAUCAAAUAAAUAAAACAUUGCACAAAAAACUUCAAUACAAUUUCCUAACUUCAAUUCAAUUUCCUACUUCAACUUAUCAUACUCCAAAGUGAGUUGACAGUGACAGAACUCAUAUGAUGGCAGCUGCAAUUAAACGUAAGCAACCUCAAAACUUAGAAAUCUACAAUAAGGCUUGCUACAUCUAAGUUCGAUAGGGUUUCAGAUAAAAUUGAUAGCAAUAUGAAUCAAAUUCUUCAUCAAUUAGGCCUAGUAUUGAAACCGUUACCAAAAGAAACAACAGACAUAGGUAAGUCAACAUGUUUAACCAUAAAAAAAUGCAUUUAACAAUUCUUUGAUUUGAAAAAGAUUUCCUUAUCCACUCUGUCAAAUAUUCAAGAAAUUAUGGUUGGAAUUGUGCUAUCAAUUGUAUUGAAGAAACAAAAUUAACACAAAGAAACGAGUAUCGAAAAAUAGAGAGGGGGGAAUGAUACCCACAUCAGCAUAAGCAGCAUCCAAGUAUGAAACAUUAAUAUCCACAGAAACUCCUGUUAAGAACACUCCUGCUGCGAUCAGUGCAGCUGACCCUACCACAUCAACCAGCAUUGCUGUAGCCCCAGCAUGCAAGCAAUCGCUACCGUUCUUCACAAUAAGCCAUCAAGCAAAACCCCAAUAAUCAGCAACACCCUUUAAAACCAAAAUGAUUAAAUCAUUGCUUGGCUUAAAAUUAUGGAACAAAUUUACGAACUGUUCAGUAUUUUAUCUCAAAACAAGAAUAUAAAGAAAAUUACUUCCAAAAAAAUCCUAACUAAAGAGCAGACAUAAAAAAAAUCUCAACUUUCUCUUGGUCAUCAUGAGUUAUCUGAACGACCAAACUAAAUGGAGGGUAAUCCAAACCAUUUCUCUAAUUUGCCUUAGUUCUGUUGUCAAAACCAAUCAAGGGAAAACAAUAGUCCGCCGUGGAAGUUAUCCCAGGAAUCCAAAGGAGUCAUCUUGAGAUCCUUGAUUAUGCAUUUGAAUAAGUUGAUAGCAAUAAAGCACAGAGUUUGAGGUUUGAAGUGGUUACCAGAAGACGAGGAGGGACUUUCAUGGAGCAAACAACACGCCCAGGUUCGAUGAGAUCAAUAUGAAGGCCUUCCAAUACGAAUCUUUCAAAGAAUCUGAGUGGCAUUUCUUCAAUUUUUGAUGCUCUCUUGUCAUCUUCAUGUCC